rnacentral:rRNA from 1 species
AAUGAACGCUGGCGGCGUGCCUAACACAUGCAAGUCGAACGAGAAAGCCCGCAAGGGUGAGUACAGUGGCGCACGGGUGAGUAAUACAUAGGAAUCUGCCUCUGAGUGAAGAAUACCCUAGAGAAAUUUAGGUUAAUACUGCAUAAGCCCAGAAAUGGGGAAAGGAGGCCUCAAGCUACCGCUGAGAGAUGAGCCUAUGGCCUAUUAGCUAGUUGGUAGGGUAAAAGCCUACCAAGGCGAGGAUGGGUAGCCGGCCUGAGAGGGUGGACGGCCACACGGGAACGGAGACACGGUCCAGACUCCUACGGGAGGCAGCAGUGGGGAAUAUUGGACAAUGGGCGAAAGCCUGAUCCAGCAAUGCCGCGUGUGUGAAGAAGGCCUUAGGGUUGGAAAGCACUUUCAGUGGGGAGGAAGUUGUAGAUGCUAAUAUCAUUUGCAAUUGACGUUACCCACAGAAGAAGCACCGGCUAACUCUGUGCCAGCAGCCGCCGCCG